AACGUAGGGCCCGAGCGGUACCCGGAAUCACUGGGCGUAAAGCGCACGCAGGCGGCCUGGUAAGUCGGGCGUGAAAUCUCCCAGCUCAACUGGGAGGGGCCGUCCGAUACUGCUGGGCUUGAGGGCGGGAGAGGGAGGUGGAAUUCCCGGUGUAGCGGUGAAAUGCGUAGAGAUCGGGAGGAACGCCAGUGGGGAAGCCGGCCUCCUGGCCCGUCCCUGACGCUCAGGUGCGAAAGCCAGGGGAGCGAACGGG
rnacentral:rRNA from 1 species